AGAGUUUGAUCAUGGCUCAGAUUGAACGCUAGCGGCAUGCCUUACACAUGCAAGUCGAACGGCAGCGGGGGAGCUUGCUCCCGCCGGCGAGUGGCAAACGGGUGAGUAAUACAUCGGAACGUGCCCAGUAGUGGGGGAUAGCCCGGCGAAAGCCGGAUUAAUACCGCAUACGACCUACGGGUGAAAGCGGGGGACCGAAAGGCCUCGCGCUAUUGGAGCGGCCGAUGGCUGAUUAGCUAGUUGGUGGGGUAAAGGCCUACCAAGGCUACGAUCAGUCGCUGGUCUGAGAGGACGACCAGCCACACUGGGACUGAGACACGGCCCAGACUCCUACGGGAGGCAACAGUGGGGAAUUUUGGACAAUGGGCGAAAGCCUGAUCCAGCAAUGCCGCGUGUGCGAAGAAGGCCUUCGGGUUGUAAAGCACUUUUGUCAGGAAAGAAAUUGUCUGGGCUAAUACCCCGGGCCGCCGACGGUACCUGAAGAAUAAGNACCGGCUAACUACGUGCCAGCAGCCGCGGUAAUACGUAGGGUGCGAGCGUUAAUCGGAAUUACUGGGCGUAAAGCGUGCGCAGGCGGUUUAUUAAGACAGUUGUGAAAUCCCCGGGCUCAACCUGGGAACUGUAAUUGUGACUGGNAGGCUA
rnacentral:rRNA from 1 species